UGAGUCUUAAUUCACUCAGGCAGUACUAGC
rnacentral:piRNA from 2 species